rnacentral:rRNA from 1 species
GACGAACGCUGGCGGCGUGCCUAAUACAUGCAAGUAGAACGCUGAAGGAGGAGCUUGCUUCUCUGGAUGAGUUGCGAACGGGUGAGUAACGCGUAGGUAACCUGCCUGGUAGCGGGGGAUAACUAUUGGAAACGAUAGCUAAUACCGCAUAAGAGUAGAUGUUGCAUGACAUUUGCUUAAAAGGUGCAAUUGCAUCACUACCAGAUGGACCUGCGUUGUAUUAGCUAGUUGGUGGGGUAACGGCUCACCAAGGCGACGAUACAUAGCCGACCUGAGAGGGUGAUCGGCCACACUGGGACUGAGACACGGCCCAGACUCCUACGGGAGGCAGCAGUAGGGAAUCUUCGGCAAUGGACGGAAGUCUGACCGAGCAACGCCGCGUGAGUGAAGAAGGUUUUCGGAUCGUAAAGCUCUGUUGUAAGAGAAGAACGAGUGUGAGAGUGGAAAGUUCACACUGUGACGGUAUCUUACCAGAAAGGGACGGCUAACUACGUGCCAGCAGCCGCGGUAAUACGUAGGUGGCAAGCGUUAUCUGGAUUUAUUGGGCGUAAAGAGAGUGCAGGCGGUUUUCUAAGUCUGAUGUGAAAGCCUUCGGCUUAACCGGAGAAGUGCAUCGGAAACUGGAUAACUUGAGUGCAGAAGAGGGUAGUGGAACUCCAUGUGUAGCGGUGGAAUGCGUAGAUAUAUGGAAGAACACCAGUGGCGAAGGCGGCUACCUGGUCUGCAACUGACGCUGAGACUCGAAAGCAUGGGGUAGCGAACAGG